AUUGAACGCUGGCGGCAUGCCUUACACAUGCAAGUCGAACGGCAGCGGGGGAGAAGCUUGCUUUUCCUGCCGGCGAGUGGCGAACGGGUGAGUAAUACAUCGGAACGUGCCCUGUAGUGGGGGAUAACUAGUCGAAAGAUUAGCUAAUACCGCAUACGACCCGAGGGUGAAAGUGGGGGACCGCAAGGCCUCAUGCUAUAGGAGCGGCCGACGUCUGAUUAGCUAGUUGGUGGGGUAAAGGCCUACCAAGGCGACGAUCAGUAGCUGGUCUGAGAGGACGAUCAGCCACACUGGGACUGAGACACGGCCCAGACUCCUACGGGAGGCAGCAGUGGGGAAUUUUGGACAAUGGGCGAAAGCCUGAUCCAGCAAUGCCGCGUGUGUGAAGAAGGCCUUCGGGUUGUAAAGCACUUUUGUCCGGAAAGAAAUGGCUCUGGUUAAUACCUGGGGUCGAUGACGGUACCGGAAGAAUAAGGACCGGCUAACUACGUGCCAGCAGCCGCAGUAA
rnacentral:rRNA from 1 species